GUUCAGGGGUAAACCUAAGAAACCCAAAAGAUCGAACGGGGAGAUUCAUCGUCAGCGGCGCUGGCUUCGCGUCGGUGGGCGAUGCUCCGCGGAGCCCUUGCGGAUCCUACCGCGGACACGCUACCGUGCGUCGAUGUCCGGCGCUCGUCGUCGUGCACUUCUCCCCUAGUAGGACGUCGCGACCCGCUGGGUGUCGGUCUACGGCCCGAGUGCGGUGACUGUCGCGUCGCCGGUAAAACGGCACGCGGCAAACCCUCGGUCGCCCGGCCGGCUGCCCGGCGGUACACGCAUGGUAUCAGGCCGCACUCUUCUCACGUGUGCGUCGGGACCGUCGCAAGCGCGCGCCACGGUACUCGGAGGUUACGGACCUAGCGCCGUCCCCGGUCCUGGCCCGCUGUUGGUCGUACGGAACUCCUUCGACAGGCCUGCAAACGAUAUACCGGUCGGCGACGCUACUGCUUUGGGUACUCUUAGGACCCGUCUUG
rnacentral:rRNA from 1 species